AGUGAACGCUGGCGGUAGGCCUAACACAUGCAAGUCGAACGGCAGCACAGUAAGAGCUUGCUCUUACGGGUGGCGAGUGGCGGACGGGUGAGGAAUACAUCGGAAUCUACUUUUUCGUGGGGGAUAACGUAGGGAAACUUACGCUAAUACCGCAUACGACCUACGGGUGAAAGCAGGGGAUCUUCGGACCUUGCGCGAUUGAAUGAGCCGAUGUCGGAUUAGCUAGUUGGCGGGGUAAAGGCCCACCAAGGCGACGAUCCGUAGCUGGUCUGAGAGGAUGAUCAGCCACACUGGAACUGAGACACGGUCCAGACUCCUACGGGAGGCAGCAGUGGGGAAUAUUGGACAAUGGGCGCAAGCCAGAUCCAGCCAUACCGCGUGGGUGAAGAAGGCCUGCGGGUUGUAAAGCCCUUUUGUUGGGAAAGAAAAGCAGCAGGUUAAUACCCCGCUGUUCUGACGGUACCCAAAGAAUAAGCACCGGCUAACUUCG
rnacentral:rRNA from 1 species